rnacentral:lncRNA from 1 species
ACAUUAAAAACAGGGUGCCGAAUUUAGAAUGCCCAGUGGAACCACAUGCUGAAAAAGAAAGAAACGGAGCUUGCUAAUGCAGGAGGAACACAUGGGCAUUGCCAGUGCCCUUAAGCAAAGUGGUGCCUGUCUCCUCCAGGGCCACUCAACACAUCCAAUACUGUGACACAGGUAGGCUAGCCUCCUUCUCCUCUUUCCACCCUGUCUUUAGGAUCAUCUCCAGACAUCGAAGGGCAUCAUUAUCACGGAUAAGAACACAGAUGCUGGGGCUGGAGAGAUGGCGCAGAGGUUAAGAGCUGGCACUAAUCUUUCAGAGGACUGGAGUUUGGUUCCCAUCCCCAUGUUGGGCAGAUCAUGACGACCUGUGACUACAGCUUCAGAGGGCCUAGAACCUUCUUCUGGAGACCCUGCAUGCUCUGCCUUCAUGUGCUCCUUCCCCUAAGACACAGACGCCUUCCUAACCGUCUCUGGUGACAACAGGACAGGAACAUCACAGCUGUUUAUGUGCUAUGAUUUCCUAUGUGUGCACACAGGAAUAAGACUCUCUUGCCUUGCCCACAAACCACUCUUCACUCUUGGGAUGACCUUGCUCCAGCUGGGAUCAGAAGUUCUAGAGCAUUCUGGGUAUGAAAUCAAGGCCUGUGGGGAAAAUUUUAGCACCCAGUGUCUGCCCCGGUGUGCUUAGUGUCACCCCCAUAAGCGUUGACUUCACUAUCCCCCGUGUCCUGACUCCUAUAAAGAUGUUGAGUAAGCUCUGAGGUUUCCUGCCAGCUGAAA